rnacentral:misc_RNA from 1 species
GGAAUUUAUGAGUACGUAGAGUAUAAUUAGUCUUCGGACUUCCUUAUACUUAUAUACUUAUAGAUUCC